rnacentral:rRNA from 1 species
GAUGAACGCUGGCGGCGUGCCUAAUACAUGCAAGUCGAGCGAAGCGGGGAGGGGCGAGUAAAACGUCGAUAACCUCCUAUAAGACGGGGAUAACUUCGGGAAACCGGAGCUAAACCGGAUAAUUAUAGAUGGAUCUGCGCUGCAUUAGCUAGUUGGUAAGUUAACGGCUUACCAAGGCAACGAAGCAUAGCCGACCUGAGAGGAAGGUCGGCCACACUGGAACUGAGACACGGUCCAGACUCUUACGGGAGGCAGCAGUAGGGAAUCUUCCGCAAUGGGCGAAAGCCUGACGGAGCAACGCCGCGUGAGUGAAGAAGGUCUUCGGAUCGUAAAACUCUUUUAUUAGGGAAGCGGUACCUGAUCAGAAAGCCACGGCUAACUACGUGCCAGCAGCCGCGGUAAUAC